GCCCGGAUGGCACAAUUGGUCAGCGCGUGGGACUUUUAAUCCCAAGGUUGUGAGUUCAAGCCUCACUUCGGGCG
rnacentral:tRNA from 2 species